rnacentral:lncRNA from 1 species
ACGGGUGGGCUAUAGCCUAUGUGGGGGGCGUGGGCGAAGUUCGUCCGCGGGACUCGGAAUGGCCCCAGACUUGGCGGGCGGCCUCCGUGUGCCAAAAAUAGGCCACGGGCACAGCCGCGCUCAAAAAUCAGCCCCCGAAGGUCGGGGUCCCAAGACCCCCCAGCGGAAAAAUGGCCAAAAAACGGGUGGGCUAUAGCCUUGGUGGGGGGAGUGGGCGAAGUUCGUCCGUCGGACUCGGAAUGGCCCCAGACUUGGCGGGCGGCCUCCGUGUGCCAAAAAUAGGCCACGGGCACAGCCGCGCCCAAAAAUAAGCCCCCGAAGGUCGGGGUCCCAAGACCCCCCAGCCGAAAAAUGGCCAAAAAACGGGUGGGAUAUAGCCUUGGUGGGGGGCGUGGGCGAAGUUCGUCCGCGGGACUCGGAAUAGCCCCAGACUUGGCGGGCGGCCUCCGUGUGCCAAAAAUAGGCCACGGGCACAGCCGCGCAAAAAAAUCAGCCCCCGAAGGUCGGGGUCCCAAGACCCCGCAGCGGAAAAAUGGCCAAAAAAUGGGUGGGCUAUAGCCUUGGUGGGGGGCGUGGGCGAAGUUCGUCCGCCGGACUCGGAAUGGCCCCAAACUUGGUGGGCGGCCUCCGUGUGCCAAAAAUAGGCCACGGGCACAGCCGCGCCCAAAAAUCAGCCCCCCAAGGUCGGGGUCCCAAGACCCCCCAGCGGAAAAAUGGCCAAAAAACGGGUGGGCUAUAGCCUAUGUGGGGGGCGUGGGCGAAGUUCGUCCGCGGGGCUCGGAAUGGCCCCAGAUGUGGCGGGCGGCCUCCGUGUGCCAAAAAUAGGCCACGGGCACAGCCGCGCCUAAAAAUAAGCCCCCGAAGGUCGGGGUCCCAAGACCCCCCAGCGGAAAAAUGGCCAAAAAACGGGUGGGCUAUAGCCUAUGUGGGGGGCGUGGGCGAAGUUCGUCCGCGGGACUCGGAAUGGCCCCAUACUUGGCGGGCGGCCUCCGUGUGCCAAAAAUAGGCCACGGGCACAGCCGCGCCCAAAAAUCAGCCGCCGAAGGUCGGGGUCCCAAGACCCCCCAGCGGAAAAAUGGCCAAAAAACGGGUGGGCUAUAGCCUUGGUGGGGGGAGUGGGCGAAGUUCGUCCGCCGGACUCGGAAUGGCCCCAGACUUGGCGGCCGGCCUCCGUGUGCCAAAAAUAGGCCACGGGCACAGUCGCGCCCAAAAAUCAGCCCCCGAAGGUCGGGGUCCCAAGACCCCCCAGCGGAAAAAUGGCCAAAAAACGGGUGGGCUAUAGCCUUGGUGGGGGGCGUGGGCGAAGUUCGUCCGCGGGACUCGGAAUGGCCCCAGACUUGGCGGACGGCCUCCGUGUGCCAAAAAUAGGCCACGGGCACAGCCGCGCCCAAAAAUAAGCCCCCGAAGGUCGGGGUCCCAAGACCCCCCAGCGGAAAAAUGGCCAAAAAACGGGUGGGCUAUAGCCUUGGUGGGGGGCGUGGGCGAAGUUCGUCCGCGGGACUCGAAAUGGCACCAGAUUUGGCGGCCGGCCUCCGUGUGCCAAAAAUAGGCCACG